rnacentral:misc_RNA from 1 species
CACGAUAAGCAUAUACAGAAGGAUGAUACAUGAUAACAAAAGGGAGGGCGCGAAAAGAAAAGAUCUUACAUCAAUUAACAGCAAUAAAAGUAGCCUGAUUUCAAGUGAUGAGCUUGCCAAAGGGAGGGGCAAAAAAUUAAGAAAAGAAACUUCACCGCAUGUGUUGUGUAAUAUACUUCAUCUCGAAAAGUAAUUGAUCUAUGAAUUUCUUUCUGCUGAUUAGUUUCCGGAAGAUCACUCCAUGGACGAGAUAUCAACAAUCUUAUAACCUAACUGAAGGUAGAGUUUCCUUCACUGUGUACUUCAGUAGAUCAUUUGGGCAGUUCAUCCUCCGAGAUAGAAUCAGUCCGGGCUGUUCAUCCUCCCAGAUAGAAUCAGUCCUGUGUCUUGAAUCUGAUUACUAUGUAC